GGGCGGUUAGCUCAGUUGGAUAGAGCGUUGGCCUCCGAAGCCAAAGGUCGUGCGUUCGAGUCGCAUAUCGCCCGCCA
rnacentral:tRNA from 1 species